CCUUAUGGCCCGUACCGUAAACCGACACAGGUGGAUGGGGAGAGAGUCCUAAGGCCGGCGGAAGAAGUAUUGUUAAGGAACUCGGCAAAACGACCCCGUAACUUCGGGAGAAGGGGUGCCUGCGAGAGCAGGCCGCAGAGAAGAGGCCCAAGCAACUGUUUAGCAAAAACACAGGUCUAUGCAAAACCGAAAGGUGAGGUAUAUGGGCUGACGCCUGCCCGGUGCUGGAAGGUUAAGGGGAGUGGUCAGGAAACGAAGCCACGAACUUAAGCCCCAGUAAACGGCGGCCGUAACAAUAACGGUCCUAAGGUAGCGAAAUUCCUUGUCGGGUAAGUUCCGACCCGCACGAAAGGCGUAAUGAUUUGGGCGCUGACUCGACAAUACAUCCGGUGAAAUUGAAGUGCCAGUGAAGAUGCUGGCUACCUGCGCCAGGACGGAAAGACCCCAUGGAGCUUUACUCCAGCUUGAUACUGGGACCCGGUAUUGCAUGUACAGGAUAGGUGGGAGGCUAGGAAAUGUGGACGCCAGUCUGCAUGGAGCCGCUGUUGGGAUACCACCCUUGUGGUGCUGGGUUUCUAACCAGAGGCCGUGAACCGGUCUGGGGACAAUGUCAGGUGGGGAGUUUGACUGGGGCGGUCGCCUCCGAAAGGGUAUCGGAGGCGCCCAAAGGUUCCCUCAGAAUGGUUGGAAACCAUUCGAAGAGUGCAAAGGCAGAAGGGAGCUUGACUGCGACACCGACGGGUGGAGCAGGUACGAAAGUAGGGCUUAGUGAUCCGGUGGAAUUUAAGUGGGAAUGCCAUCGUUCAACGGAUAAAAGCUACCCUGGAUAACAGGCUGAUCACUCCCAAGAGUUCACAUCGACGGAGUGGUUUGGCACCUCGAUGUCGGCUCAUCGCAUCCUGGGGCUGAAGUCGGUCCCAAGGGUUGGGCUGUUCGCCCAUUAAAGCGGUACGCGAGCUGGGUUCAGAACGUCGUGAGACAGUUCGGUCCCUAUCCGGCGUGGGCGUAGGAUAUCUGAGAGGAGCUGUCCUUAGUACGAGAGGACCGGGAUGGACUGACCUCUGGUGUACCGGUUGGCGAUCAACGCCACGGCCGGGUAGCCAUGUCGGGACGGGAUAAACGCUGAAGGCAUCUAAGCGUGAAGCCCCCCUCAAGAUGAGAUAUCCCAUCGUAAGAGUAAGACCCCUUGAAGACGACGAGGUUGAUAGGGCAGGGGUGGAAGUGCCGUAAGGCAUGGAGCUGACUGCUACUAAUCGGUCGAGGGCUUGACCG
rnacentral:rRNA from 1 species